rfam:Oryza nivara chromosome 2, whole genome shotgun sequence.
AAUAAGUGCAGUUUUACACUAUUCACGUUUAACGUUUGACCGUUCGUCUUAUUUGAAUUUUUUUUAUAAUUAGUAUUUUUAUUGCUAUUAGAUAAUAAACAUGAAUAAUACUUUAUGUGUGACUAAAUAUUUUCAAUUUUUUCAUAAAUUUUUCAAAUAAGACGGACGAUUAAACAUUGGGCACGGAUAUCCAUGACUGCACUUAUU